UGAGUUCAAAUUCAGCCUGAGACACUUAUUAGCUCUGUGACUCUAGACAAGUCACUUAUCCCUGUCUGCCUCAGUUCCUCAUCUGCCAAAUGAGUUGGAGAAAGAAAUAACAAAUCAGUUCAGUAACUUUGUCAAGAAAAGCCCAAAGAAUAGGACACAACUGAACAACAACAAUAAAGAGUAUAAUAAGUACUGCAUAGAGAAGGCAGACAGAUCAGGCAUCACAGGAGAGGGUACUGGGAAAAACUGGAGCAACAAAAAGGCACUGGACAUUCAAGCUUAGAAAAUAAUAUUAAGAAGAGAAAAGCAUGGUGAUGUAGAAAGAACAUCAGCUUACUAAUCAUAAAACACUGGUUAAAAUCAUAAUCAACAAACUGUUUUCCUUCAUCCAAACCCUGGUUUCUUUCUCUCUAAAAUAAGAGUGACUCUAAGGUUCCUCCUAACUACAUAGUCCAGAAUCUGAUGCUUAUAUGGAAAGAGCAGAAAUGAGAAGUUUAUGUCACACUUUACAAAGGGCCAGGAAUUUCUACAACCAAAGGGAAAAAAGGGGCUGAAGCACCUAUUCCAGGGAUUAGCAACAAGACCUCACUUGCAAAAUGGAAAUAAUAAUAGCACCUGCUUCAUAGGAUCAAAUGAGGUGACAUGAGUUAAACACUUUACAUAAUGCUAGAGAUUAUUAUGUACAAGAGAAAAAAUAUGAAGUGAGUUCUACUACUAUGGUACCUUUUGCAUGUUUAUUAAACUUUUCUGGGUCUCAGUUCUCCUCUCUGUAAAAAUGAAAGGUUCCUUGAACCCCU
rnacentral:lncRNA from 1 species